GACGAACGCUGGCGGCGUGCCUAAUACAUGCAAGUCGAGCGGACUGAUUAAGAGCUUGCCCUUAUGACGUUAGCGGCGGACGGGUGAGUAACACGUGGGCAACCUGCCCUGUAGAUCGGGAUAACACCGAGAAAUCGGUGCUAAUACCGGGUAAUAUCUGAGAUCACAUGAUCUUAGGUUAAAAGAUGGCUCCGGCUAUCACUACAGGAUGGGCCCGCGGCGCAUUAGCUAGUGGGUAAGGUAAUGGCUUACCAAGGCGACGAUGCGUAGCCGACCUGUGAGAGUGAUCGGCCACACUGGGACUGAGACACGGCCCAGACUCCCACGGGAGACAGCGGUGGGGGAUCUUCCGCAAUGGGCGAAAGUCUGACGGAGCAACGCCGCGUGAGUGAUGAAGGGGUCCGGCUCGUAAAGCUCUGUUGUUAGGGAAGAAACAGUACCGAACGAACUAGGUCGGUACCUUGACGGUACCUAAACAGAAAGCCACGGCUAACUACGUG
rnacentral:rRNA from 1 species